AUUACAGAUAUAGUUUGAAAUAUCUGUAUAUAUGAAUGUGUAUAUAUAUACAGAUAUUUCAAACUAUAUCUGUAAUGU